UAACCACAAAAGAGAGGUGGGGUGUAGCGGAGCAGCCAUCGUUGAAGUGGGCUAGAGUCAGAGUGGGAAAUUAGAGGCUUUGACUCAAGAGGCUUCCAUGAGAAGAGGCCAAGGCAAACGAACAGGUGACAUCCCGGAGGACUGGCGAGUGGCUAAUGUUGUUUCUCUGUUCAAGAAAGGAACAAGGGAAGAUCUGGGGAACUAUAGACCGGGAAGAAGAGAGCUGUGGGGAACAGGCAGAAAAGUGGAGAUGAGACACAAGGUCACAUCAAC